rnacentral:rRNA from 1 species
GACGAACGCUGGCGGCGUGCUUAACACAUGCAAGUCGAGCGGUAAGGCCCUUUCGGGGGUACGACGAGCGGCGAACGGGUGAGUAACACGUGGGUGACCUGCCCUCAGCUCUGGGAUAAGCCUGGGAAACCGGGUCUAAUACUGGAUAUGACUCCAUGACGCAUGUUGUGGGGUGGAAAGCCUUGUGCGGCUGAGGAUGGGCCCGCGGCCUAUCAGCUUGUUGGUGGGGUGAGGCCUACCAAGGCGACGACGGGUAGCCGGCCUGAGAGGGCGACCGGCCACACUGGGACUGAGACACGGCCCAGACUCCUACGGGAGGCAGCAGUGGGGAAUCUUGCGCAAUGGGCGAAAGCCUGACGCAGCGACGCCGCGUGAGGA